GACGAGCCACCCAAACGUUAUUCGGAAUUACUGGGCGUAAAGGGUCAGUAGGCGGCCAACUAAGUCCGACGUGAAAUCCCAAAGCUUAACUUUGGAACUGCGUCGGAUACUGGAUGGCUUGAAUUCGGGAGAGGGAUGCAGAAUUCCAGGUGUAGCGGUGAAAUGCGUAGAUAUCUGGAGGAAUACCGGUGGCGAAGGCGGCAUCCUGGACCGAGAUUGACGCUGAACGACGAAAGCUAGGGGAGCAAACGGG
rnacentral:rRNA from 1 species